UUCGAGACAGGGUUUCUCUGUGUAGCUUUGCGCCUCUCCUGGAACUCACUUGGUAGUCCAGGCUGGCCUUGAACUCACAGAGAUCCGCCUGGCUCUGCCUCCCGAGUGCUGGGAUUAAAGGCGUGCGCCACCACCGCCCGGCUCUGGGACAAAUUUAAGAAAUACUUAGACUGCGCUGAUGCCUUGGGCUUAGAGCAACAGCACCGCAAAGCCUGCACUUAGACACCAGGCAGGACAGAGUGGACAGGGCGCCUAGGAGGCAGGAAGCCGCUGACUCUGUGGAGGGUGAAGCUGGCCUCCCGGAAGGGGGGCCCUGGGGGAGAUGCCCACUUCUGCUUUCCUGUGCAGCUGCAGCCCACUGAGACCAGAGCAGAAAUCGGGUCCUGCGUGAGAACAGCUAAGCUUUGUGUGAUGGUCCUUGGAUCACUCCCAGGUUGCGGGAGAGACACGUGACAUCAGUGGUGAGGGAAAAUUACGUUUCUUUGGGGAUCAUCAGGCUUGCAAUUUGGGAAAACACAGCUUCAAGCCCUCUUACAAAUGUGGCUCCUGUUGUCAUUUGGACAGUCAUGUGGUCACUAAUUUAAGCCCACAGGCAAGAUGGAAUUAGAGGAAAUGGAAAACGUACUGGGUGUGGUGGUACACUCCUUUAAUGCCAGCACUUGGGAGGGAGGCAGAGGCAGGUGGAUCACUGAGUUUGAGACCAGCCUGGUCUACAUAGUGAGUCCCAGGUCAGCCAGGACACAUAGUAACAGCCCGUCUCAAUAAAACAACAACAACAAAAACCAAACCAAAACCCAGAGAAGUAGAAAACACAAACACGGCCCAGGGUGGCAUCUUUUAAGCUCACAGUGCUAAGGGCCAAGCUGCUACACAUACAACAGCCCCGCUAUACAUGGUCUAGUAACAGAGCGAGGUCUGGCCUACCCUCUACCCUCCGCAGGAC